GACAGAGGUGCCAAGCGUUAGGCGGAAUCACUGGGCUUAAAGCGCGUGUAGGCGGUCCGGUAAGUCCGCUGUGAAAGUCGGGGGCUCAACCCUCGAAAGCCGGUGGAUACUGUCGGGCUCGAGUACGGAAGAGGCGAGUGGAAUUCCUGGUGUAGCGGUGAAAUGCGCAGAUAUCAGGAGGAACACCAAUUGCGAAGGCAGCUCGCUGGGACGUUACUGACGCUGAGACGCGAAAGCGUGGGGAGCAAACAGG
rnacentral:rRNA from 1 species